AUUGAACGCUGGCGGCAGGCCUAACACAUGCAAGUCGAACGGUAACAGGAAGCAGCUUGCUGCUUUGCUGACGAGUGGCGGACGGGUGAGUAAUGUCUGGGAAACUGCCCGAUGGAGGGGGAUAACUACUGGAAACGGUAGCUAAUACCGCAUAACGUCGCAAGACCAAAGAUGGGGACCUUAGGGCCUCUUGCCAUCGGCUGUGCCCAGGUGGGAUUAGCUAGUAGGUGGGGUAAAGGCUCACCAAGGCGACGAUCCCUAGCUGGUCUGAGAGGAUGACCAGCCACACUGGAACUGAGACACGGCCCAGACUCCUACGGGAGGCAGCAGUGGGGAAUAUUGCACAAAGGGCGAAAGCCUGAUGCAGCCAUGCCGCGUGUAUGAAGAAGGCCUUCGGGUUGUAAAGUACUUUCGGCGGGGAGGAAAAGAGUAAAGUUAAUACCACGGCUCAUUGACGUUACCCGCAGAAGAAGCACCGGCUAACUCCGUG
rnacentral:rRNA from 1 species